ACAGGUUCCACUAAUCCAGAGAUAUUGUUGCAGAAAAAUAUUGGCUGGUUAAAUUUCUCAUCAUGAACAUAGAGCAAAGGCAUGUCAAAUGCAGUAAAGUUUGGAUCUGGUUUAUUUGAGACAAAGACCAUGCGCACAUUUGACAAGUAAAUAGUCCCUUUUGCUUUCACACGAUCACUAUUAGCCCCGGGGAUCUUAUCAAUCUCAAAUUCAACGCCAUCUCUAGCCAAUACGAAGAGCUCGUUGGUGAAGGGAACGGGCAUCCCAUUUGGAAAUAGAUUAGGGUUGAGAGCCAUGGAAGAUUAGAAGUGA
rnacentral:misc_RNA from 1 species